rnacentral:tRNA from 1 species
GUUGGGGAUAUAGCUUAGUUGGUAGAGUGUUGGCCUCACAUGCACAGGCCCUGGGUUUGAUCCCCAGCAACA